ensembl:lncRNA
AUCUGUCUGUGGGGGCUGUGGCAUGUUUGACAUACCAGCCAGAUGAGAGUCUAUGUUUAGAUGUUCAGCCUGCUGUGCUUAGAUUAUACCAUGUGAUCUGCUGGGGGUGGGGGGGGAAAUCAUGGGUUUGUGCAUAUGCUUUUGUGUGUGUCAUUUGUGUGGUGUGUGUGUCAUUGUCACCUCUGAUUCAGGAGCAGAGGGCUUUGGGCUCAGGGACUCAGGAUACAAACCCAGGACAGGGAGGAACCAGCCGGGUGUCAGGGAGAGAGGGGUGGGCCCAGACGGGUGUCAGGGAGAGAGGGGUGGGCCCAGACGGGUGUCAGGGAGAGAGGGGUGGGCCCAGACGGGUGUCAGGGAGAGAGGGGUGGGCCCAGACGGGUGUCAGGGAGAGAGGGGUGGGCCCAGACCGGUGUCAGGGAGAGAGGGGUGAGCCCAGACGGGUGUCAGGGAGAGAGGGGUGGGCCCAGACGGUUGUCAGGGAGAGAGGGGUGGGCCCAGACGGGUGUCAGGGAGAGAGGGGUGGGCCCAGACGGGUGUCAGGGAGAGAGGGGUGGGUCCAGACGGGUGUCAGGAAGAGAGGGGUGGGCCCAGACGGGUGUCAGGGAGAGAGGGGUGGGCCCAGACCGGUGUCAGGGAGAGAGGGGUGGGCCCAGACGGGUGUCAGGGAGAGAGGGGUGGGCCCAGACCGGUGUCAGGGAGAGAGGGGUGAGCCCAGACGGGUGUCAGGGAGAGAGGGGUGGGCCCAGACGGUUGUCAGGGAGAGAGGGGUGGGCCCAGACGGGUGUCAGGGAGAGGGGGUGGGCCCAGACCGGUGUCAGGGAGAGAGGGGUGGGCCCAGACCGGUGUCAGGGAGAGAGGGGUGGGCCCAGACGGUUGUCAGGGAGAGAGGGGUGGGCCCAGACGGAUGUCAGGGAGAGAGGGGUGGGCCCAGACCGGUGUCAGGGAGAGAGGGGUGGGCCCAGACCGGUGUCAGGGAGAGAGGGGUGGGCCCAGACCGGUGUCAGGGAGAGAGGGGUGGGCUGUUCCAGUCAG